AAAGAGGAAAGCGUAAUAUACGCCACCUCGCGACGGUGAGCUGCAAGCCGCGUCGCACCUGCUCUUUAACAAUUUAUCAGACAAUCUGUGUGGGCACUCGAAGAUACGGAUUCUUAACGUCCUCGGACGAAAAAUGAAUACCAAGUCUCAUGUGCCCAGAUGGGAUUAGCUGGUGUUGGUGAGGUAACGGCUCACCAAGGCGACGAUCCCUAGCUGGUCUGAGAGGAUGACCAGCCACACUGGAACUGAGACACGGUCCAGACUCCUACGGGAGGCAGCAGUGGGGAAUAUUGCACAAUGGGCGCAAGCCUGAUGCAGCCAUGCCGCGUGUAUGAAGAAGGCCUUCGGGUUGUAAAGUACUUUCAGCGGGGAGGAAGGUGUUGUGG
rnacentral:rRNA from 1 species